rnacentral:lncRNA from 1 species
GGGUUAAAGUCAUGCUGAGGCCCGGAUUUCUCAUGGCUACGUUGCUGGCUGUGGUGUCGGUCACGGGGUGUCCCAUAGUGGGUCGUCGACUUGUACUUUGGGAGGUCUGGACGGCAAAGCUAUACCAAAUGUCACCAAAUGAAUGAGGAGCAUAUGCAUAUCAUGGAAGAUAGAGGAGGAGAACCCAAUAUGUGGGAAUGGAGUACAGUAUCAACAAGCUUCAGGAGCAGCCACUAAAAGCAGUUCAUAUAUGUAAGGAUCUGCUAUGCCUCCCUUCUG